rnacentral:lncRNA from 1 species
UAGGCCUGGUAACCUCCACUUCUGGGGUUAAACUCCCUUUCUCCCCCCUCUUUCAAAACAAGAUUGGUCACCAAUUGUCACAUGCACCACUGCCACAGAGAGGGAAAAGCGGCCCUGGACUCUGUUCACAGAUGGUUUCCCCUUUCCCCGCAGAGGGAUUGGGAGAGAGGCUAGCUGGAGUUACUCUCCCAAUCAUGAUGGUGGAAGAAACAUCUUGAAAAGCCUUGAAGCCAAGAGGAAAGUCCCUUGGGAAACUUGAUCGUUGAAUGUCUCUGACCACAGCCUCCGUCAGAUGUGAUUGGUUUUCAUUUAUCUGAAGAUUUGGGCUUGCCAUGGCAGCCUUCUCUCCUCCUCUUGACAUUUGUAAAGAGUGGUGAAUAUUGACUCCACUUGGAAAGUAUGCCUAGAAGAUGGCAUUCAUUCCAAGGGGAUGAUGAGAGAGGUAUGUUGGCACUGGGAAAUGGCAGGCUGGGAGUAGAGAGGAGAAACAGAAGAAAGCACCCACAUCGCUGGAGAGGUAUGAGCAUGGAGAGUCCCAACCUGUCAGGGAGAGGCUCCCAAAGCAGGUGUAGUCUGAGUCAACCUGGUUUUCCUCCUCAGGCUGCCUUCCUCUCUCUUCCACCAGGGACAUAGCUAGAUCCUCUUCCACAGAACUCCCCAAGAGGGUCCCGUUUUAGUAAUCCAGGCAAACGGAGCCAUUUCCCCAAGCGGGAACCACACACAGGAACUGGUAGUAUUUCUGUUCUCCAGAGUUCUUGACCUUUUCUUUGCUUUUGACUACAUCCACCCCCUCUCCUUUGAAAUCCCUGCCCACAAGCAGCUCUCAGCUCUUCCCCAUCAGGGACAGUUUGACCAUUCAGCAAUUCUGCUGCCCAGGAAAACUCCAUGUUCUGAAAGAGGUUUUCUACUAGUAAUUCAUUUUCCUAGUUUACAUGAAUCAAAAACCUAGGAAGGGAGGAAUAAAGCUUCUAAACUGCAUGAGAUAAUCAGAGAGACGACAGCAGGUUCAUUUACUUAAUAACCACGAGAACUUGGACAUCUCAUUUUGCAUAAGCUUCUGUUGUUUAGGUGAACACAAUGAUAACAUAAUAAUAUACACCUCAAAGAGUUGUUGAGUGGAUUUUAAAAGACAAGGAAUAUAAAAUGCUUAGCAUUAAAGCUGAACUUGCUGUGAUCUCUCUGAUUAUCUUGUGCCUGAUGGAUCAGAGGACCAACAUUCGAGGAAAGCGUACUCUAAGUAGAUUUUUGAUACUGAGCUUGGCUUUGGGGAUACAGUGAUAAGCAUUCCUGUCCACAGUCUCUGUUCUCUUGGAGUUUCGAGUUGAGCAGGGAGGAAAAUCAAACUAGAAUAAAACCAGUGUGUACGAGAGUCUGUCUGGUCAAGUCCAUGUGGUUCAGUUAUCCCAUCUGGUGGAGAAUUCUGCUUCUACCAUCUUAACUCUUGUCUAAAUAGAAGCCUUUCCAAAGUGUCUUUUUCUGACAGUGACUUACCUCCUAAGAGUUUCAUGUUUUCAACUUUCUAGUGAAAAUUGCCUUGGCUAUACCGCCACCAUUGUGUCUCAUUGAAAGUUUAUUCAUUGAACUCAUUGUGUCUAAAAGCAAGUUUAUGCUUUUCUUCUCUCUGUCCUGACAUUCCUUCUGAAAGGCACUAAU